UUCCCGGAAAGAGACUGUAAGGUCGUCACACACCCUUCAAAUGCCCUCACGCCCAUCCCACCUCCUGGCCUCUGACCUUUCUUCCUGUGGUUUUCCUGGGGCCCGACUGCCAUUAUUAACACACGCUUUUGUCUUAAACGUGGAAGGGGGUUCCUUAAGGUUUGUGGGCAAGUGGUUUAUUCUAGAAGAGGUUCUCUGGGAAGGCCAUUCCGGGAGGCCGUGGGGGUAACAGGAGAGGAGGGAUGUGAAACCGGGCAGGGAGCAGACAGAGGUACCAGCCCACAGGCCCUCGGUACCCUGGAUGACAUGUUAGCCUUAGCAGGACGCUCACGACGUGAUGCCAGCUUCCUGCAAGUGACAACAGGUAGGUUGACGUUGCUUUCCUGGAAUACCUGAACAAGAGUUCCUUGGCGCGUCCCUACAUCUGUGCCAGAUGUUGCCUGCAUAUUGUUCCUUUUUUUAGAUAUGCACCCAUGGCCUAUGGAAGUUCCCAGGCUAAGAGUCGAAUCAGAGCCGCAGCGGCUGGCCUACACCACAGCCACAGCAAUGCCAGAUCCUUAACCCACUGAGCAGGGCCAGAGACUGAACCUGCCUCCUCAUGGAUACUAGUUGGGUUCGUUACCCCUGAGCCACAAUGGGAAUUCCCUUGCCUGGCCUUUUAAUUACAACCCUGCUGGGAAUGACUCCUUGAUGGCACGACCUCAGGGCCAGGCUUGCAAGAACCACUCCUGGGUCCAGGAACCCGUUGAGGCAGACUUAGACCCUCUGAUCCCCCAACCCCAUGUAUGCUGGACAAGGCUUCACAGAGGAAGCACCCGCGGGGGGAGGGGCGAGGGAGCAGGGAUUGGCAUUGGUCCCGACGAUGUGUGACAAACACUGGGCCGCGUGUGUUUGCUUUCUUUAUGACCAAGGGUGCUGGCGGGGGUGGGGCGGGGGGAGGCUUGGGACUCAGGAUUGCUUCCUCGGUGAACCAGGCUGCCAGGGAGGGGCUGGCUCUGUGGCUGGUGGGGCGGACCCGGUCCACUCCCCUCGGGGUCCCUUCAUUUCUAGAAGGAGUGUCCGACCCCACCCUUGUGACAGGCACUGCUCUUCCAGGACAAGGCUUUUCUGAACUGAUUCCAACUUUAGAAAAGCAAGACUGGUGCUGGCGGGACGUCGUGGAACACAGAACGAGGGGCCGCGGAGGGCGCGCCUUGUUUCUGAAGCACAGCACCCGUCCCGUUUGUCCUCAGUACCCGCUCUGUGCAGGAGGACCUCCUGGGUGUGAUGGCAGCCUUGCAGGAGGGCAUAGCAUUGUUUUGCCCGUGUGUCACCAGGAGGGCUUCCUGGAGGGAACAGCUUUGGGCAGAGGGUGGCCUUGCCGCCCUGAAGGAAUGUUAUGGCCAUCUGACGUUUACGUGUGGCUGAGGCAUGAGACCCCGCCUGGCUUUGGGGGACCACCGCAUCUUGGAGUGUUGCUGGCAAGUACAGCCCCCCCAGGGCGGGGACUCCGUGUGCAGGGUCAGGCUUGUCCCAGCCCCGCCCCCUUGGUCUCGGACCCUGCAGGAGACGAGGUUCCUCUGGAACCGUGCGUGGAGGGUGCUCUUGGGUACUUGAAGAGAGGAUACCCUUUGCAGGUUCCCUUUCUUCAUGGCGAAUAUACAGAGGGAGACUCUUACUUGCGUAUCAAACUCUGA
rnacentral:lncRNA from 9 species